rnacentral:rRNA from 1 species
UACGGAGGGUGCGAGCGUUAAUCGGAAUUACUGGGCGUAAAGCGCGCGUAGGCGGUUUGUUAAGUCAGCUGUGAAAGCCCCGGGCUCAACCUGGGAACUGCAGUUGAUACUGUCCGACUAGAGUACGAGAGAGGGAGGUAGAAUUCCAUGUGUAGCGGUGAAAUGCGUAGAUAUAUGGAGGAAUACCAGUGGCGAAGGCGGCCUCCUGGCCCGAUACUGACGCUGAGGUGCGAAAGCGUGGGGAUCAAACAGG